AGCGAACGCUGGCGGCAGGCCUAACACAUGCAAGUCGAACGAACUCUUCGGAGUUAGUGGCGGACGGGUGAGUAACACGUGGGAACGUGCCUUUUGGUUCGGAAUAACUCAGGGAAACUUGUGCUAAUACCGAAUGUGCCCUUCGGGGGAAAGAUUUAUCGCCAUUAGAGCGGCCCGCGUCUGAUUAGCUAGUUGGUGAGGUAACGGCUCACCAAGGCGACGAUCAGUAGCUGGUCUGAGAGGAUGACCAGCCACACUGGGACUGAGACACGGCCCAGACUCCUACGGGAGGCAGCAGUGGGGAAUCUUGCGCAAUGGGCGAAAGCCUGACGCAGCCAUGCCGCGUGAAUGAUGAAGGUCUUAGAAUUGUAAAAUUCUUUCACCGGGGACGAUAAUGACGGUACCCGGAGAAGAAGCCCCGGCUAACUUCGUG
rnacentral:rRNA from 1 species